rnacentral:siRNA from 1 species
CAAAUCAACUUGUGUUGCUGC